CCAGGCCGCAGACAAGAACCAGAUUAGUUUUACCAGAUCCCUUCCGCCCCCCACCCGCUCUACCGCGCCCAAGAGGAUUCAAAAGGGAGCGGCGGCGGCGAGAGGCCCGGCGCCGACCGCAACCCUAGCCCGAAUCAGCACCCGCCGGCCGACGCUUCCGGAGGGAGCCGCUGCGGCGGCCGAGGCCGACGACAAGGCGCGGCGCCCGUUCACGGCCCUCAGCCAGGUUCACGCCGACCUCAUCCUGGCGUGCGUCCCCCAGGAGCAGGCAAGCUGGCUAGAUCUCGCGUCCCCGGCGGUCCCGUUCCCGUCCCUGGGGUUCGGAGGAGAGGGCGGAUGAACGGAGGCGGCGAGGCCAGCGAUCAUGGGAGCUCGGAGGGCGCGCCUCGUCGUCGGCCUCAGCCAGGUCCACGCCGACCUAGCCCUGGCGAGCAAGUUGGCUAGAUCUCGCGGCCCUGGCCGUCCCGUCCCCGUAGCUCCCGCUGGGCCUGGUUGGCUGUUUGCUGAUUGGCCUGGUUACUAAUGUGCGUAGGCCACAAUUCCAGGAUGCUAAAAUUGAGUGCGGUCACCACGCAUACAACCAAACAUAGCUACUGCAUGAAAUCACGAUCGUACGUGGUGGAGGCGGCAGCGGCAGCGGCAGCGGCAGCGAAUAGGUCAUUAGGGCAUGGCAGGGCGGCUGCCAUGGGCCGGCGAGGUGGUGAACAGCGACUCAGCGAGGCCGUGAGGAUAUGGGUAUAUAAAGGAAUUGAUCUUGCUGAAAUUAAGAAAGAAUUUCAAAAUAUACCAAGAAGAAUGCCUUUGCCACAGUCAAUAAAGCUUUAUUAUAGACAUCUUUAUGCGUGUCUUAGUUAAUAAUAAAGAUGAUAAAUUGGUGAUCUGUAAUCCAUAUAAUCUUCAUUUAGUGAGGAAUGGAAAGGUCACAUGGUUGAGGAUCUAUGCUUGUUGUGGUUGCAGUCCUGUGGAUCAAGGUGUUGUUCUCGAGUGCUAGAGUAAUUUGGUUAUCCUGUCGGCUCCCAGCUUCCAGGUUCUAAUUAUAUGUGGUUCCAGUCCUGUGGAUCAACAUGUUGUUCUUGGAUGCUAGAUUAAUUUGGUUAUCCUAUCGGCUCCCAGCUUCCAUUAUAUGAGGACUUGGUGCUUUACUGUCGGUUGUUUUGUUCGGUCCUCUUGUUUUCUGAUUCUUUGCUUCAUGUGUUUCGCAUGUUGAUAUGCCUGUCCUUGUUAGGUUGCGUCGCUUGUGGCUCUGGGGUUUCUUGUUCUUCUUUGAUUAUGAUGUUUGUUGGCUGAUUCUAUUCCAUCUUGCUUUUUCAGGACUGUAUGUUGUUGGUUGGUCUGUGCUGUUCUUCUUUUAUCGUCUAUAGGUGGGACAUGCUCUUUACCCUGCAUUUUUGUAUCCUUUUUAGGCUGUCGGUUUUCCAUUCCGGGUAUAUAAAUUCCUUCUAUUGGAUGCUUUGGUGGACACAAAAGCUUAACACAUGUUACAUCGUGCUAUUUGACUCCUUUCGUGUGUCAUAUAGAACAUCCAUAUGAGAUAAAGCAAAAAGGCAGAGACCAAAUAUAAGAGCUGAGGGAUAUGUGGAAGAGGGACGGGAUGAGCUUGCGGCUUACGAGCCAUUCAAAUAAUCAGACAUGCAUGGUUUCUUGGUUUUUCACUUGUUGAAUCUGUUAACCUGAAGAUUUUUUUUCUUCUUUGCGGCAAACUCCAGGGUAAAAUAUAAAACAGAAUCUGUCACCUGAAGGCAUUCUGUCGAGGCCUUGCUCAGAGGUUGGAUGAUUACGAGCAAGAUGCAAGGACACAAAAAGCUUGGGAUGCAGAAAGGUUAGACGCGAGCUGCCGCUAGCGCACGGUGGCGUGCUGCAUCUCCCAUCGGUGCUUGCGACAGGAGAACUACAUCCCUGGCCUAUUCAUCUAUGCCUCAGCUGCUGCCUCUCCAAGUAAUGCCAAACCUAUAGGCUAUAACAGGUGUAUGGAUGCCGACAUUCAGACUGGUCAGCUAAGAGACCAGGACACGGAAUCUGGAGAGGUCCUGGUCAUCAGCUGGUCCAUCAUGAGUGUAAGGUUGAUUUUGACAUGAUGUUGAUGUCCCAAGCUGAAUUUCAAGAUACUCGUGGCAGCAAUUUCCCAUAGAAGUGUUGUGGUUUAGUUCGCUAUACUGUUAGAAUUACGCGAGGUGUGCGUGUAUCAUCGGGGUGGUGCUGAGUCAACUAAAAGUCAGAGGCGCUAAUAUGUGUGCAUUACCUACUGUUGUAUAUUUUUCAAUCAUGCACUCUGUUCUCUUAAUGAUUAACUGUGAAUGAAAUGGAUGAGGGCAAUAAUGUUCAUGUGCUAGAACAGAACUCUGGAAACUUGAAUGGAAAGAACCUUUAAAGCAGGUGAUUACCGAGAAA